rnacentral:lncRNA from 1 species
GCGAUGCAGCGAGGACUUUGUAAACACCGCGCGCCGGUGGGGGUGGACACUCGCUCUGUUUGGGUGCCCGGGAAAUGGAGUGCACGCCCCUGGCCUGUCUGUGGCUGGCGGUUGUGAUCACCCUUACUGGCCCAAAACAGAUGGAUGUCCCGCAGCGGGAGAGAACGAGAGGCCACCAUCAAAGCUCGGGGAGUUCAUCUGCCAAGAGCAUAAGGAAGUAGGAACAGGAAGCAGUUCUGGGAAAGACAAGCUGGAUCCCCUGAACUCCCAGUUGGAUGCGGCUGAAACUGGGCCCUCCUCACCAUACCAGACACCCGCUCCCCGUCCUGGACCCUGGAAUUGUUUUCUUCAACAAGCCUUGUCUCAUGGCUGUCACCACUGUAUCCUCUGGGACUAGUCCCCAGGGGUAGAAGAGGUUCUUCUGCCAUUUUUUUUUUUU